CCUGGGACUUGCGUCCCAGGCUUUUGCAUGACGUCGCUUCGCGACU
rnacentral:sRNA from 1 species